rnacentral:rRNA from 1 species
UACAGAGACUGCAAGCGUUAUUCGGAUUCACUGGGCGUAAAGGGCGCGUAGGCGGUCGUGACAAGUCACUUGUGAAAUCUCCGGGCUUAACUCGGAACGGUCAAGUGAUACUGUCGGACUAGAGUACAGAAGGGGCAACUGGAAUUCUCGGUGUAGCGGUGAAAUGCGUAGAUAUCGAGAGGAACACCUGCGGCGAAGGCGGGUUGCUGGGCUGAUACUGACGCUGAGGCGCGACAGCGUGGGGAGCAAACAGG